GAUUUUUUUCCCAUAGCCCCAGCAUCAGCUUUCCAGAGGUCACAGAGCUUCUCAGGGAGAGGAGAAGAGGAAAGAGUAUGCGGCCACAAGGACCUUGUGAUCUUGGAACACCAUUUCAGCCAAACAGGACACUGGCACACAAGAGCAGAAUAGCACUUUUGCUCCUCCCUUUGAAUUUCUUAUGGCACUUUAUAACUAUAUAGAACAAAACAAAGGAUGUUUGGAGAAUGACUUGAGAUGCUGAAAUACCAGGCUCCCUUACCACCACCCACCUUAAAGGUACAGAAAAUAUUGAGGGAAGAAGAACUUGGGAGGAAUCAGUAAGUAAAUAUAUACCAAGUUCUCUGUUCACUUUAAUAGUUCACAUAAAAUCAUUGCCAUACACCACAUAAGACAUUUUAACAUUGAACAUGAAAUAAGUAGCAUAUCUUUGGUUAGGAAUUUCAUUUCUUCUUCCCUUGCUGCCCAUACAUUUUAAAAAAAAAUGACAAGUGAUCAGAACCCUCCACUUACUUGUCAGUGAUCAAAUUUACCCUGAUUGUGUAUGU